CUAAAGAGGUAGGAAUUGAACC
rnacentral:tRNA from 1 species